rnacentral:lncRNA from 14 species
AUGACAAUGGCGACGGCGACGGCACGCCCGCCGGGCGCUGGAGCGGCACCACCCGUGCCGGGUGUGCGGGAAGAGCUUCCCGGCGCUGCGGAAGCUGCGGAAGCACCAGCGGGACACGAGGGCAGCACCGCGGUGACGCCGGUGGGGGCGUCGUCGUCGGCGGGGACGCCGUCCUCGGGCCGCGUGGGGCGGCGGCCGUCGCUGCGCUUCACCUGCCCCACCUGCGCCAAGGUGUGCAAGACGGCGGCCGCGCUCAGCCGCCACGCCCAGCGGCACCGGCGGCGCUCGCCGGGGUCACCAACGGGGUCACCAGGGUCACAGCCAGGGUCGCCGGGGUCACCGGAGGGGUCACUGCAGGGGUCACCACCGGGGUCACCACAGUCACCAGAGGGGUCACUGGGGUCUCCGCAAGGGUCACUGCAAGGGUCACCGCGGUCAGCACAGGGGUCACUGCAGGGGUCACCGAGGUCACCACCGGGGUCACCGAGGUCACCACCGGGGUCACUGAGGUCACCACCAGGGUCACCAGGGUCACCGGCGCCGCCCACGGUCAUCGCCUACACCCCCCCAGCCGCAGAUAGAGGGGGGCUCCCGGUGUCCCCCGGUGUCACCAGCACGGUGCCACCACCCCCAGGUGACACCGGCAGUGGUGACAUCACCGGUGACGUCACAGGCGCCACCCCCGUGGGGGCGUUCCCGGUGCAGGAGCAGCCGCUGGCGCUGCUCUGCCGGGCCGCGGGGGGCGACCCCGAGCCCGGGGACCCCGCUGGGGGCGCGGGGGGGGCGGGGACACCCCGGGGGGGUCCCCGCGCCCCUCCCCCCCCGGCCCCUCCGCCCCCCGGCGCGUUCCCGUUGCCGUUCGGGCCCCGCCUCGUGGCCGCGUUCCCCUUCCCCUUCCCGCUGCCCCUCGCCCUCGUCAUCCCCGAGCCCGAGCGCGGCUUCCUGGGGGGGGGAGGGGCGCCCCUCCCCCCUCCCCCCAGCACGACCCCCCCCCACCCCCCCCCCAGCUUUGGGUUCCCCGGGGGGGGGGGAGCGGCCCCGCAAAGCGGGGGGGGGCACCUGAGGGGUGGGGGAGGGGAGGCCCAAAAAUGA